ensembl:snoRNA SNORD115 Small nucleolar RNA SNORD115
GGGUUGAUGAUGAGAUCUUAUCUUGUCUUGAAGAAAGAAGAUCACCUAAAAAUCAUGUUCAAUAAGAUUAUGCUAGACCC